AUUGAACGCUGGCGGCAUGCCUUACACAUGCAAGUCGAACGGCAGCACGGGAGCUUGCUCCUGGUGGCGAGUGGCGAACGGGUGAGUAAUACAUCGGAACGUACCCUGAAGUGGGGGAUAACGUAGCGAAAGUUACGCUAAUACCGCAUAUUCUGUGAGCAGGAAAGAGGGGGAUCGCAAGACCUCUUGCUUUAGGAGCGGCCGAUGUCGGAUUAGCUAGUUGGUGAGGUAGAGGCUCACCAAGGCGACGAUCCGUAGCGGGUCUGAGAGGAUGAUCCGCCACACUGGGACUGAGACACGGCCCAGACUCCUACGGAGGCAGCAGUGGGGAAUUUUGGACAAUGGGCGCAAGCCUGAUCCAGCCAUGCCGCGUGAGUGAAGAAGGCCU
rnacentral:rRNA from 1 species